UGGGGAAUAUUGGACAAUGGGCGAAAGCCUGAUCCAGCCAUGCCGCGUGUGUGAAGAAGGUCUUCGGAUUGUAAAGCACUUUAAGUUGGGAGGAAGGGCAUUAACCUAAUACGUUAGUGUUUUGACGUUACCGACAGAAUAAGCACCGGCUACCUCUGUGCCAGCAGCCGCGGUAAUACAGAGGGGGCAAGCGUUAAUCGAAAUUACUGGGCGUAAAGCGCGCGUAGGUGGUUUGUUAAGUUGGAUGUGAAAUCCCCGGGCUCAACCUGGGAACUGCAUUCAAAACUGACUGACUAGAGUAUGGUAGAGGGUGGUGGAAUUUCCUGUGUAGCGGUGAAAUGCGUAGAUAUAGGAAGGAACACCAGUGGCGAAGGCGACCACCUGGACUAAUACUGACACUGAGGUGCGAAAGCGUGGGGAGCAAACA
rnacentral:rRNA from 1 species